CUGCUGGUGUUGACGGAAAUAGCUGCUUGUUGUGACUGGGGCCUUCUUAUCGAUCAUCUGAUCACUUUUCACUUUUCCUGAGCGACAUUUUCAUGGGCGCGCAACUGAUUGCUCUGUCUGUUCAGUGCCUUUUUCAUGGUUAUAUUUGUGAGAAAAAUGUCUGUGAGUUGUAGAUGUAGUGAGUGAGGAACGAGAAGGACGCGCAGUUAGAUCUAGUGGUGACGACAGACCUGCCCUGCCCGUCGUCUGCAGUCUUACAACUUACGUGGUGUGACGUUGUCAUGUUUUACAUUGUUGUUGUGAUUUGCUGAAGUUGCCUGCUACCACCAAAUCGGAGCGGAUAGAAGUUUCAUUUUCAAAAAUCAAUCCUGCAAGAUGUGGGUUAAGCCACAGGAGGUCUUGCUGGCAAAUGCCUUAUGGGCCACGGAGAGAGCCAAUCCGUUCUUCGUGCUGCAGCGACGGAAAGGCUACGGGGGCGGCGGCCUCACGGGGCUUCUGGUGGGGACCCUGGACACUGUACUGGACAAUAAGACCCUGCCUUACAGGAUUCUGCACCAGGCCGAGGGAGCAGAACUGAGUUAUUGUGAGUGUCCUUGU